UACGGAGGGUGCAAACGUUGCUCGGAAUUAUUGGGCGUAAAGCGCACGUAGGCGGUCUAGCAAGUCGGGGGUGAAAUACUUCAGCUUAACUGGAGAAGUGCCUUCGAUACUGGUGGGCUUGAGGGAGGUAGGGGUCUUUGGAACUUCUGGUGGAGCGGUGAAAUGCGUUGAUAUCAAGAGGAACACCAGUGGCGAAGGCGAGUCCCUGGACGAUACCUGACACUGAGGCACGAAAGCCGGGGGAGCAAACAGG
rnacentral:rRNA from 1 species